CAAUGAAGAAACAUUUCCUUUGUUACUUCCUUCCUUGGUGAUUGCCUGCCUUCUUCACCAAUAUACUAGAGUUACAGAAUGCGGUGAUAUGUACUUUACAAUGGGAUUAAAUAUGGCAACAUGGCUAGAUCUGCACAAAUCUGGAACUCUCGUUCUGUUUGUGCUAUGGAAGACUUCAUUUGGAUUCUAAGGACCUGGGAUGCCAAACGUCAGCAAGUGAAAUGUGCCUCCAUGAUACUAAUUCCUGAUCAUCACCAGAGGACCAGUUGAACAAUGCAUGAAAAAACAUCAUUAUGAGUGGCUAUAAUGAUAAUAGAAAGAUCAUCCUACUAGGAACGAGGAUAUUCUGUUUAGUUACAGCCUUUAAAAAAGCAGUGUAAACCUGAGACUUUGCAACUGGCAAGCAUUCUGGACCACAACAUCCCACAAUGCACUGGUGAUAACUUUCCUCCCAGACAGAUAUCAGCUAACCACAGUGUACAAUCAGCUGCCCACACUGGAAGACACAAAUCAGAAAACCACUGUUCCAUAAUCACAGAAUUGAAAGAACUGCAUACGUAAAAUGACAGGCUAUUAAUUCUGGUUUGGAA